CUAAGAUACAAAGGCAAAAAUAUAACAUUACAUUUAGUAAAUAUUUUUUGUUAAUAAGUUUUUAAUAAACAACGAGCAACGGAUAAUUUUGAUUGUAACUUAGGACGAUGAUCUUACUAAGGAUAAAAACAUAGAUAUUAAUUAAUGUAUAUUUAUAUUGCGAAGUUUUAUCCUUUGAAAUGUUAAUACUAUAAAACUUUUCUAUUAGGAUUAUUUAUUUAGGAUCAAAAACUAUAAACAUUGUGGACGAUAGAAAAUACUACACAUUGAUGUCGGCUAUUAUUAUAUAUUUUUUGAACUUUCUUAUACGCUGUAAGAAAGGUGCAAUUAUUUAACUAGUUAUUCUUGAUUUUUUUUAUUAUUAUUGACAUACAUUUUACGAAAAUGUAUAAGACUUACCAACUAAAUUAGUUUCUAUGAAGAAAUUUUUCAUCAAAAGAAGAAAUAUUAUUAGUUAGACUAUUAAAUAUAAUUUUAGUGUAAAUAAUUAUAAAGAUGAAAAGAGAAAAUAUAAUUAUGUUAAAAAAGGAUGGAAAAGGCAUAGAAAGGAUUUUUAGUUAAUCAAUAAAGUGGAAUAAGUUAAAAAUGAUACCUACACUAUUUUAUUGUAAUGACUAAUUAUCUUGAAAAAGUUUUAUAAAAUAAUAUUUUGGUUUACCUUUUUUUUAUUUUCAAGAUUACAGUUAUCAUCAUUUUAGUAUUGCAAACGUUAUUAUAUAGAGAUAGAAAAAUUUAUUUUGAACAUAAUAACGCUGUAAGUGAAUUUGUAAAUAGAUAAAAUAUAUAAUAGAUGUUUGAUAACAAAGUUGUAAUUAAUAAUAUUUAGUUUUAAUUAUGAUAGUCAAACAGGGAAAAAAAUUGAUAAAGGUUAGAAUUGUUUAUAACAAUAAGAAAGAGUCGUGAUAGGAAGCUCUGCUGGACCAUUAAAAACCUUGAAAUAAUAAAUAUUUAACAUUUUUUGGUAAUAUUGAACGAGUUAAUGACAAAUAAAUAGUUAAUAUUAAUAAAUACUUUACAACAAAAAUAUAUUUAUAUUGUCGUAACGUCUCGUAUAAGGUUCAAUUAUAAGAUAAAUUAGUAACAAUCCAUAAAUGAUAUUUUGUAAAUACAAUUUCUACGGAAUGAUAAUAAUUAAUAUAAUUUAAACGAAUUUAUCUUUAAGUAAAAUUUUGUUCUGAAGUGAUAAUAGUUACAAUCAAAUUGUACAUUUACUAAACAUAAUGUAAAAUUGAACAUUUAAUUGAUAUUUUUGGUAGGUUUUAAAAUAAAUAUUCAUGUGAACACCAUAUUCUUUCUUUCUAUACGCAUCAUUUCUAUAAGGCACAUAUUUGCUCUAUGCAUGACAGCAGCGCCAAGUAAUAUAUGAACUAAAGGGUGAUAUUUGAGGGUGAUAUUGACAAUAUAACUGAAUGGGAUUUCGUAAUUAAAACAUUUUAUUUUUGGUUUUAAUAAAUUAUAUGAAUAUAUAAAACAAGUAAAAAGUUCCAUUUACUCUUAUUAUAUAGUCUUAUUAAUUCAGCUAAAAACAACCACAAAUGAAACAUAGAAUUAAUUAUCAAAAAGGGAUUCCAAUCAAUCAGCCAUGAAAUAUUAUUCCAGCCAUAGACUAUAAUCAAAGGCAGAAAUUUAGUCCUUGUUAAGAAUGUAAGGAAUGUUGAAGAACAUUGGAAAAUAAUGAAAAUUAUCUUAUCAAAUCGCGUGUUAUCAGAUAAGCAUUGGUCCAUGCAACACCUUACGCUACAUCAUUAAAUAUAAAUACGACACUGAUGUUUAAUGUAAUUGUGUUUACAAUCAAAGUAAAAAGUGCAAACAUAUUGCUGCAUUGAUUUACUUUAUUAAAAAUGAAGAAAGUGCAUCAAAAACAAAUAAUGAGCAACAGUGAGGGAAACCGACAAUUUGCAUGACAAUUUGCUAAAAAGAAAUAUUCUAAAGAAGAAUAUUUCGAAAAAAUGGCACCUCAUAAACGUACAAGUACAUGAGUCUUAAGAAGUGCAUAUCUCUGAAUUAAUUGCAAAUUCUUCAUUGAAACAGAUUUUAAAACUCAAAAUAGAAAAAACAAAUAUUCAUAUAGUAAAAAAUAUUAUGAAUUCGUUACUGAUGCAAGUGGAAAUUAAUUUAGAAAAAGAAGACUGUGCCGAAUGCGUUCAUAAUUUUUUAAUUUUCGGUAAAGACUAUUUAAUUUAUAAAUGUGAUUAUGAACUGGAUAUGAAUCUAAGAAAUUUUUAUGUUAAAAAUAUUGUACUGUCUAAGGAAAACAUCGUUAAUUUAAGCUGUAAAACUUUAGGACUAUCUUCUUGUAAUGAAUGAAUUUGUACUAGUAACAAAUCUAAGACUUCUUACUAGUACAAAUAUGCACAGUAUUAAAAUGUGGUCAAAAAAAAUUAUCGACAGUCUGAUAUCAGAUAUUUUAUACCCUAUAAAAAUUUAUUGUGCUUCUACCAGAUAUAGUUUAAUACAUGAAUGUCAUGCCAAAGAAAAAUAUGAACUACUUUAUAAUUGCAUUGUAAAAUGUGUUGGUGUAGUUGUUUGUAAAUUUUAAACUUGACUUUGUGCGAGUCUUGAUGAUAUUGUCAUAGAAGAUGGAUGCAUUUCAAAACUAGUAAAAUUUUUUGCUAAUACGUUUAUAAUUCACAACACAGCAACUCCGGUGGUUCAUUUUAUUUCUUUUGAUUAUUUAAAAAAAAAAUUAAAAUCAACACGUGUAUAUAAUUCACCAAAAGUACAAAAUAUCCCCCUAAAGUACUUGACUUAUCUGUGAAUUGAAGUUUUUCGUAGAUGAAAUGCAUCACUGGCAAUUAGACGCCAAUGUAAUCGAGCGGCACCUUAUAAAUGCUCGAUAAUAAAUUUUUCUGUUUUAUAGAUCUGGUGUUGAUGCAUAUGUGAGCAACUUCGGUAAUUCGCAGUAAAUACUCCAAAGAGAAAGUUCUGCAAAGUGCCAUAUAUCAUUAUUGAAUAUAUCUGUCAUUGAGAACUCCUUGGAUACUUGCUAAGAAAAUGCAUAGAUAAGAAACAUAUUGCUAUAUUAAUUAAUAUUUUGAUAUCAGAUGACACAGUAUAUCUAUUCAAAGUAUAUUUAUUCAAUUCACAGUAUAUUUAUUCAAAAACAACAGCUAAAAAUGGCUGACGUAGUAGUAAAUACGUUUUUCUUAAAUAAGAAUUGGAAUAGAAAAAUUAGGGAAAAAUCCUAUUUUUCUUAUAUGUAUAUAUUGAGAAGUAAAAAUUAAGUAGUAAUUUUAAAAUAUAUUUAAAAUAUUUGAAAUUAUAUAUUUGGAAAUUUUUUUGAAAUAAGCUUAGGAAACUUGUCACUAUAUUGUUACACUUAUUCCGUAUAUCAGUUAUGUUUGAAAAGUUUAAUAAAAAUUCGUGCGUAAUUAAAAAAAAAUGAAUUUUAUUUACACU